CACAGAAAGGAGGCAAGACACUGAAUGUGGCAGCAGUGGCUCAAGCAGCUUUUAACGGACAGAGUCAAGGCCGAGGACCAGAUACCGGGACAUGGGCCAAUUCCUGAUCAGCACCAGCACCUGAGAAAGGGAGAAACAGCUGCACAGGAGAUGGAAGCACAUCACCGGAGUGGCCAGUGGAUGAUGGCAUCAGGACCCAGAGAGCAUGACCUCCAGCCAUGGACUCAGAGCAGUUAAGGCUCUACCAUGAACUUUAUUAUUGCUCUACCAGGGACAGAGCAAUAAUUACUCAACUGUGUAGCUUUGUUAAAUAUUGUUUGGGCUACUGUUAAUAUUGGUAUUGCAUGUGAAGGCUAACCUAUAUAUAGUACACACAGCUCACUGAACUGCAAGGAGUUAUUACCCAUCACUAUAAAUUUCUAGACAAAUCUGUCCAUUGCCACCAGGGUGGUAUAUUGUAGAGCACUCUAAAUUCCUUCCUUCUCCACCCCCUCUGUCUUCGAGGGUUUAAAUGGGGAAGAGAAGGCAGUGCGAAAAACUGCCUUCCCCCUUGUGGGCUUGAAGGGGGAACAGCAAAAGGUGCCUUUCCCCACACAUGUGCUGACUCGUGUGGGAGCCUGUGCUGGGAAUCAGGCUGGCGGCUGGCUGGGUUUUCAUGCCCAGUAUAAAUGGCAAGUGGACAUUUUAUCUAGAAAAAAGGCAUAAAUAGAGCAAGGGAGAAAGCACAGUGUUCCCACCUUGACAGAGCUCCCAACAGGACAGGAUUCCUGCCUUGACAGAGUUCCUGCUGUGACAGUGCCCACUUGGAGAGUUCCCGUUGAUGGCUUCUGCCUUUACACAGCUCUUGAUUUUUGACCAUAAAAUAAACCAAAACUAGUUCUGUAUAUAGUUUGGGGGCAGGGUUUUCAGGAAAAUAAAAUAAUUCUAUUUUUAUAA